rnacentral:sRNA from 1 species
UCGUGCUGCCCUUCUUGGGGCGUUUCCUCCCUAGACUUCGGGCCGCUCCCUAACCGGGGCGGCCUUUUUUAUGUCUUAU